UACGGGGGGUGCGAGCGUUGUCCGGAAUCACUGGGCGUAAAGGGCGCGUAGGUGGUUUGAUAAGUGGGUGGUGAAAGUCCGGGGCUCAACCCCGGAUCUGCCGUGCCGACUGUCAAACUCGAGGACUGUAGAGGCAGACGGAAUUCCGGGUGUAGCGGUGGAAUGCGUAGAGAUCCGGAGGAAGACCGGUGGCGAAGGCGGUCUGCUGGGCAGUUUCUGACACUGAGGCGCGACAGCGUGGGGAGCAAACAGG
rnacentral:rRNA from 1 species